GGUUAAGCGACUAAGCGUACACGGUGGAUGCCUAGGCAGUCAGAGGCGAUGAAGGGCGUGCUAAUCUGCGAAAAGCGUCGGUAAGCUGAUAUGAAGCGUUAUAACCGACGAUACCCGAAUGGGGAAACCCAGUGCAAUACGUUGCACUAUCGUUAGAUGAAUACAUAGUCUAACGAGGCGAACCGGGGGAACUGAAACAUCUAAGUACCCCGAGGAAAAGAAAUCAACCGAGAUUCCCCCAGUAGCGGCGAGCGAACGGGGAGGAGCCCAGAGUCUGAAUCAGUUUGUGUGUUAGUGGAAGCGUCUGGAAAGUCGCACGGUACAGGGUGAUAGUCCCGUACACCAAAAUGCACAGGCUGUGAACUCGAUGAGUAGGGCGGGACACGUGACAUCCUGUCUGAAUAUGGGGGGACCAUCCUCCAAGGCUAAAUACUCCUGACUGACCGAUAGUGAACCAGUACCGUGAGGGAAAGGCGAAAAGAACCCCGGCGAGGGGAGUGAAAUAGAACCUGAAACCGUGUACGUACAAGCAGUGGGAGCACCUUCGUGGUGUGACUGCGUACCUUUUGUAUAAUGGGUCAGCGACUUAUAUUUUGUAGCAAGGUUAACCGAAUAGGGGAGCCGUAGGGAAACCGAGUCUUAACUGGGCGUCUAGUUGCAAGGUAUAGACCCGAAACCCGGUGAUCUAGCCAUGGGCAGGUUGAAGGUUGGGUAACACUAACUGGAGGACCGAACCGACUAAUGUUGAAAAAUUAGCGGAUGACUUGUGGCUGGGGGUGAAAGGCCAAUCAAACCGGGAGAUAGCUGGUUCUCCCCGAAAGCUAUUUAGGUAGCGCCUCGUGAACUCAUCUUCGGGGGUAGAGCACUGUUUCGGCUAGGGGGCCAUCCCGGCUUACCAAACCGAUGCAAACUCCGAAUACCGAAGAAUGUUAUCACGGGAGACACACGGCGGGUGCUAACGUCCGUCGUGAAGAGGGAAACAACCCAGACCGCCAGCUAAGGUCCCAAAGUCAUGGUUAAGUGGGAAACGAUGUGGGAAGGCACAGACAGCCAGGAUGUUGGCUUAGAAGCAGCCAUCAUUUAAAGAAAGCGUAAUAGCUCACUGGUCGAGUCGGCCUGCGCGGAAGAUGUAACGGGGCUAAACCAUGCACCGAAGCUGCGGCAGCGACGUUUAGGCGUUGUUGGGUAGGGGAGCGUUCUGUAAGCCGUUGAAGGUGACCUGUGAGGGUUGCUGGAGGUAUCAGAAGUGCGAAUGCUGACAUAAGUAACGAUAAUGCGGGUGAAAAACCCGCACGCCGGAAGACCAAGGGUUCCUGUCCAACGUUAAUCGGGGCAGGGUGAGUCGACCCCUAAGGCGAGGCUGAAAAGCGUAGUCGAUGGGAAACAGGUUAAUAUUCCUGUACUUGGUGUUACUGCGAAGGGGGGACGGAGAAGGCUAGGCUGGCCGGGCGACGGUUGUCCCGGUUUAAGCGUGUAGGGGGAGUGACCAGGUAAAUCCGGUUGCUUAUCAACCCUGAGGCGUGAUGACGAUGCACUACGGUGCAGAAGCAGUUGAUGCCAUGCUUCCAGGAAAAGCCUCUAAGCAUCAGGUAACAUUAAAUCGUACCCCAAACCGACACAGGUGGUCAGGUAGAGAAUACUCAGGCGCUUGAGAGAACUCGGGUGAAGGAACUAGGCAAAAUGGUGCCGUAACUUCGGGAGAAGGCACGCUGGCGUUAGGUGAAAGGACUAGCUCCUGGAGCUGAAGCCAGUCGCAGAUACCAGCUGGCUGCAACUGUUUAAUAAAAACACAGCACUGUGCAAACACGAAAGUGGACGUAUACGGUGUGACGCCUGCCCGGUGCUGGAAGGUUAAUUGAUGGGGUCAGCCGCAAGGCGAAGCUCUUGAUCGAAGCCCCAGUAAACGGCGGCCGUAACUAUAACGGUCCUAAGGUAGCGAAAUUCCUUGUCGGGUAAGUUCCGACCUGCACGAAUGGCGUAAUGAUGGCCAGGCUGUCUCCACCCGAGACUCAGUGAAAUUGAACUCGCUGUGAAGAUGCAGUGUACCCGCGGCAAGACGGAAAGACCCCGUGAACCUUUACUAUAGCUUGACACUGAACAUUGAGCCUUGAUGUGUAGGAUAGGUGGGAGGCCUUGAAGUGUGGACGCCAGUCUGCAUGGAGCCAACCUUGAAAUACCACCCUUUAAUGUUUGAUGUUCUAACUCGGCCCCAUGAUCUGGGGUGAGGACAGUGUCUGGUGGGUAGUUUGACUGGGGCGGUCUCCUCCCAAAGAGUAACGGAGGAGCACGAAGGUUAGCUAAUCACGGUCGGACAUCGUGAGGUUAGUGCAAAGGCAUAAGCUAGCUUGACUGCGAGAGUGACGGCUCGAGCAGGUACGAAAGUAGGUCUUAGUGAUCCGGUGGUUCUGAAUGGAAGGGCCAUCGCUCAACGGAUAAAAGGUACUCCGGGGAUAACAGGCUGAUACCGCCCAAGAGUUCAUAUCGACGGCGGUGUUUGGCACCUCGAUGUCGGCUCAUCACAUCCUGGGGCUGAAGUAGGUCCCAAGGGUAUGGCUGUUCGCCAUUUAAAGUGGUACGCGAGCUGGGUUUAGAACGUCGUGAGACAGUUCGGUCCCUAUCUGCCGUGGGCGUUGGAAGAUUGAGAGGGGCUGCUCCUAGUACGAGAGGACCGGAGUGGACGAAUCACUGGUGUUCGGGUUGUCAUGCCAAUGGCAUUGCCCGGUAGCUAAAUUCGGAAGAGAUAACCGCUGAAAGCAUCUAAGCGGGAAACUUGCCUCGAGAUGAGUCUUCCCUGGGGCUUAAAGCCCCCUGAAGGAACGUUAAAGACUAUGACGUUGAUAGGCUGGGUGUGUAAGUGCAGCGAUGUAUUGAGCUAACCAGUACUAAUGAUCCGUGAGGCUUAACCUU
rnacentral:rRNA from 1 species